rnacentral:rRNA from 1 species
GUUGAACGCUGGCGGCAUGCUUUACACAUGCAAGUCGAACGGCAGCGCGGGCUUCGGCCUGGCGGCGAGUGGCGAACGGGUGAGUAAUACAUCGGAACGUGCCCAGUAGUGGGGGAUAGCUCGGCGAAAGCCGGAUAAAUACCGCAUACGACCUGAGGGUGAAAGCGGGGGAUCUUCGGACCUCGCGCUAUUGGAGCGGCCGAUGGCAGAUUAGCUAGUUGGUGGGGUAAAGGCCUACCAAGGGGACGAUCUGUAGCUGGUCUGAGAGGACGACCAGCCACACUGGGACUGAGACACGGCCCAGACUCCUACGGGAGGCAGCAGUGGGGAAUUUUGGACAAUGGGCGAAAGCCUGAUCCAGCAAUGCCGCGUGUGUGAUGAAGGCCUUCGGGUUGUAAAGCACUUUUGGCGGGAACGAAAAGGACUGUGCCAAUACCACGGUUCGAUGACGGUACCCGCAGAAUAAGCACCGGCUAACUACGU